rnacentral:rRNA from 1 species
UACGUAGGGUGCAAGCGUUAAUCGGAAUUACUGGGCGUAAAGCGUGCGCAGGCGGUUGGUUAAGACAGAUGUGAAAUCCCCGGGCUCAACCUGGGAACUGCAUUUGUGACUGGCCAGCUAGAGUAUGGCAGAGGGGGGUGGAAUCCACGUGUAGCAGUGAAAUGCGUAGAGAUGUGGAGGAACACCGAUGGCGAAGGCAGCCCCCUGGGCAAUACUGACGCUCAGGCACGAAAGCGUGGGGAGCAAACAGG